rnacentral:rRNA from 1 species
ACGUAGGUGGCAAGCGUUGUCCGGAAUUACUGGGUGUAAAGGGAGCGCAGGCGGAUUUGCAAGUUGGAAGUGAAACCCAUGGGCUCAACCCAUGAACUGCUUUCAAAACUGCAGAUCUUGAGUGGUGUAGAGGUAGGCGGAAUUCCCGGUGUAGCGGUGGAAUGCGUAGAUAUCGGGAGGAACACCAGUGGCGAAGGCGGCCUACUGGGCACUAACUGACGCUGAGGCUCGAAAGCAUGGGUAGCAAACAG